rnacentral:rRNA from 1 species
CUCAGUUCGGAUUGGAGUCUGCAACUCGACUCCAUGAAGCUGGAUUCGCUAGUAAUCGCGCAUCAGCCAUGGCGCGGUGAAUACGUUCCCGGGCCUUGUACACACCGCCCGUCAAGCCAUGGGAGUCGGGAGUGCCUGAAGUUCGUGACCGUAUAGGAGCGACCUAGGGCAAGACUGAUGACUGGGGCUAAGUCGUAACAAGGUAGC